ensembl:lncRNA
CUGUGUAAUAAAAAUAUGUGCUCACGACUUUGGCCUUGAGAGCGAUAAGAAGCGAUCGCCUCAUUCUGCAGGUGCAAGAUAUCUGCAAGCGAAGAGACUAGAACACCCAAGGCCGCUUUCCUUUUAUGGAGUUGUUUUUCUGCUAAUGCAGCACUGUCCUCACAACCCCCUCCUGUAAGUUUUAGAGAAUAUAUACCCAUCCUCACAGCAAAUAUUGGGAAUCUCCUGAUGUGAGCUGUUUGAGAGGUUGUCUCUGUCUCAAUAAAAGUUCACUGAUUCCCCCAUCUGCAGCAGGUGUCCGGUUGUCUUCAUUCUCCGCCAGCCUGGUUAAGUCAAUUCCUCCUUAACAUCUAAAAGAACCUAUUUAAUGAAGGAAGACGGGUUCACUUUGUGUUUAAUAUUAUUCUAUUGCUGUUGUUGUUUUUUUUUAUAUCCUUCAAUUGGCGUCACGGAACAGGAUCCGCUCCAGGCCAAACUGGAACGGGUGGGAGGACAUCGGCCGUGGUCUGAGUGAACGGAGUUUGGACAAAAGCUGUGUACACACAAAAACAAGGUAAGCAGACCUUUUAUUUCUGCUAUAUUGAACAUUAUAAAAAUACUUAGUGUCCAAACUCCUAGUAAUUCAUAACCAAAAUUGUCUGGCUUACUUAAGGCUUGUUGAGAAUCAGACAAGUGAAUAAGAGAUAAGUGAAUAAGAAAUAAGUGAAUAAGUGAAUAAAGAUAAGAGUGAACUGAGGUCUGACCACGGUUGCGGCCGACGGGUCGCUCUCCGGUGUCGGAUAAAUACCUCAGUGCAGGUCUGGGACCUUGAAAGGGUUUAUUAGUAACGCCUUUCUAAACAAAUUAAAAGGUUAAAGGCCUUGAGAAUAUUUUUUAGUAAUAUUCUCUAAACUACAGAAGGGUUAGGAAGGCCCAGAGGACUUUAUUAGAAAAGAUCCUCUAAAACUUAAAAAGAGAAGUACUGGUUGGAGUCCAAAGGACGGGUCCCUUUGAUCAAUAGGAGAAAACGGAUCUCUUCUUAAAACCCCGAUGAUUUUAGUGUUUUAAAUGUUUUGAUGUUCUGUUUGAUAUUGGACACACAUAAAUACACGCUGAAUGCUUGCUGUGGAACACUGGGCAGGACAGUUUGGUUCUCCGUUGUUCACAGAUUACACAAUUAAAGGAACUAGGUUCCUCUUUUGGUUAAAAUAAUACACCACACAUAGAAUUUUUUUUUUACACAUUUAUUACAUACAUAAGGAGGGUAAUGAGUGACUGCAGGUAAUGUAUGAAGUGUGAAUGAGACGUGUGAACAAGGUGACAACCAACUAGCACCCCUAUCAGGAAGCUCUAGGCAAGGUUACCCGCCAGACUCCGGUUUGGUAGAAGCUUGGUAACACCUGAAGGGAUAUUUCAGUGCUGACUCACCUUUAAAGCAGCGCCCCAGCUGAUUAGUGCCUAACAGAGGCAGAAACCCAGCUGGCCCAAAUUCUCCUUUAAAAGCAAUAAAAGAACACUCCUCCAUUGACAGUAAAAUGGAUGGAGAAUUAGAUCGAGAAACUAAUGAUGAUGGUUGGGGUCCCGGUGUUAUGCUUAGCACAUUGGGAGAACAAUUAACAUGUGUUGAGACAGUCAUCAACUCCACACACCAGCCUAAAGAAGCAAAAAAGCAGAAAGAGUCAUUGAGGAAAACAGCUGAAAGAUGCUUUUAAAUUAGUCAAAAAUUUAGCAACACCAGCAGAGAAAUAGAGAAGUGAGAUAAAGUUGUUCUGGCAUAUGGUGUUUUCUUAGGAAUUCGAGCGCUAUCGGGAGGGCGUUCCCGAGGUGUGUAUUGAUCAGCAAGGCUAGGCCUGGGCUAUAGGUGCUUUUAAAUUAGUCAAAAAGUUAGGGGUAACCUCUUCUGGCAUAUGUCUAUGCGGGCCCGUGUGUAAAUAGAACAUAAAUUACCGGUGUGUGUAAAUAAAGUGUAAAAUAGUGGUAUAAACUGUCUGUUGAAUUUCUCCUGAGUGUUGAAAAAAGGAAAAACUCUUUUCUGCUCUCUCUCUGAGAGAGGGGCUGUGUGUGUGAGACAGGAAGUGUGCAUGCCCAUAGAAGGAAAGAGAUGAGGUAAACUCUGUGCAGAUAGACCGAAGUAAAAAAAAAAAAAAAAAAAAAAAAGGAAAAGGGUCUCUCUCUCUGUCUCUGUGAGAGGAAAAAGGUGGGGGCCGAGUGAGCCCGCGGGGCCGAGCGGGUCCGCGGGAGCGAGCGUGUAUGCUGUAUGAGGAAGAAGGGAGUGAGAGGGAGCGAGUGAAAAGAGUAAUCGAGUAUUUGGUGAUUUUUUUUUAUUAUUUCAGAGGCACUGGAUCUGCACAUCGGAAAUUACAAGCAUUACACGUCGGCGAGAAAAUUGUUGUAAGUGAGUUUCUCCGCAUUGAAAUGGGUUCUGGAGGAAACACUUGUGGGGACAAUUAGAAACGAGAGUCCCUGUUUAAAAAAGGAUUCAGCGAGGUAAUCCAAACUCAAGUUCUUGUUUCUUUUUGAGAUGACGUCAUUUUGCUGAGUGUGGAAACUAGAUGCGACGACAGGUUUCACUAUCAGCAAAGAACGGAUGAAUGGAUGAAAGACUGGGAAUAAAAACAAACGGACUGACUGGUAAAAGAUGACAAGACUUGACCAUGACUCAAGGUUAACCACCUCCACCUAGAUAGGAUAAAAGGGUGGAUGAAUUUAUGUGGGUUUCUUUUACAGGAGUAGAAGGAUGACAAAAUAUUCGAGGAUGAGUGAACCUGUAAAUGCCAUUUUUGUGUCUUGUGUAGCUUACAGAGGUAACUGCGCAGCGUUACCAUUUACAUUUUCUUCCCUACAGGGUUACAGUUUUAAUGUUUUUCUAUUACAGGAUUUCUGGGCGGAUGUGUGAAGAAACGGUGUUUAUGGGUUAGGAGUUGGGGAUGCUAUUACACUGUAUUUACAGGAAAUGUUUUAUAGCACCUAUGGAAUGAGGAUGCCUGACUACGGUCAAUGUGCUGCUAAUGUUUGCUUUGCUUUGGUGAGAGGGGUGCAGUAGAAAACAGACAAGUGACAUGAAAACAAGUAAUAAUAACAAAUAACAAAUUUGGGGACAGUUUGACCUAGAGCCCACUAACUGGCCAUUAGGGGCUCUCUCUCUCUCUCUCUCUCUCUCUCUCUCUCUCUCUCUCUCUCUCUCUCUCUCUCUCUCUCUCUCUCUCUCUCUCUCAGGUUGUUGCUCUUUAACUCCUAGAACACGCCCUUGGCGAGGUGGGGGGAACUGGACCACCUUUCUGUGCCCCAUCAUCCUCUAUUAGACGACAUCCAAGCUAAGUAAACAUGUCUUGGCCCUUUCCCCCUGAAAUGACAGGCAGGCAAAGAUGUUGCGUCUUUCUUUGCUUCCUGGCCCUGGGUCUCAUUCCCAUUGGCAUAAUCCUGAUCUGUGAAGGGCCCCCGACACUUCUGACACCUUCAAGUUCAAAAGCUUCGCCCCCUUCUGACAGUCCCAAUCUGACAAAUGUAGCCCCUAGGGUCUUGCCCACCACUUCCUCUCCAGUUUUACCAUAUUCACUUUUGAAUGUCCUUAGCAGUUACCGUUCUGAGUUUAUUUUACGGUUGAUUUAUUCUUUCACAUUUUCACGUUUAUAUCUCUCAUUAUUAUAGUAUACUCUGUACUCUCCACAUUUUUAUCAUUACUUAUGCUUUUUGGUUGCUGAGUUACAGGAACUGUUAAUUUUGUGUCACUACCCUGGUUGCACUAACUCGUUGUACCCUUGUGUGCAGGACAGCUGUUACUGCUUUCGUCGGGAACCGAGACUGCUUGCAGCCGACCCCUGGGCAGGGUGGUGCCUGGACUCUUUUCUCCUCAUCUGCAAUGACAGAUAAAGACAAAUGAAAAGACCCGAGGAGUUUUUCGAGCCAGGCUUCGACACGUCUCUGUGUUCCUUUGAAUGUUACUUAUUUUUGUGUGUUGACCCAUUUAAGAUGGGUCAAAAGGGGGAUUUGAAGAAAAUAUAAUCUGAUCAAACAUUAUUCAGCUUUAAAUAUUGUUCAGCUUUAAAGUUACUGUGCAACUGUGUAAUAAAAAUAUGUGCUCACGACUUUGGCCUUGAGAGCGAUAAGAAGCGAUCGCCUCAUUCUGCAGGUGCAAGAUAUCUGCAAGCGAAGAGACUAGAACACCCAAGGCCGCUUUCCUUUUAUGGAGUUGUUUUUCUGCUAAUGCAGCACUGUCCUCACAACCCCCUCCUGUAAGUUUUAGAGAAUAUAUACCCAUCCUCACAGCAAAUAUUGGGAAUCUCCUGAUGUGAGCUGUUUGAGAGGUUGUCUCUGUCUCAAUAAAAGUUCACUGAUUCCCCCAUCUGCAGCAGGUGUCCGGUUGUCUUCAUUCUCCGCCAGCCUGGUUAAGUCAAUUCCUCCUUAACAUCUAAAAGAACCUAUUUAAUGAAGGAAGACGGGUUCACUUUGUGUUUAAUAUUAUUCUAUUGCUGUUGUUGUUUUUUUUUAUAUCCUUCAGUGGGC